rnacentral:rRNA from 1 species
AACGAACGCUGGCGGCAGGCUUAACACAUGCAAGUCGAACGCAUCCUUCGGGGUGAGUGGCAGACGGGUGAGUAACGCGUGGGAACGUGCCCUUCAGUUCGGGAUAACCCAGGGAAACUUGGGCUAAUACCGGAUACGUGCGAGAGCAGAAAGAUUUAUCGCUGAAGGAUCGGCCCGCGUCUGAUUAGCUAGUUGGUGGGGUAAUGGCCCACCAAGGCGACGAUCAGUAGCUGGUCUGAGAGGAUGAUCAGCCACAUUGGGACUGAGACACGGCCCAACCUCCUACGGGAGGCAGCAGUGGGGAAUAUUGGACAAUGGGCGCAAGCCUGAUCCAGCCAUGCCGCGUGAGUGAUGAAGGCCUCAGGGUUGUAAAGCUCUUUCGUCCGGGACGAUAAUGACGGUACCGGAAGAAGAAGCCCCGGCUAACUUCGUGCCAGCAGCCGCCGUAA